rnacentral:rRNA from 1 species
AUUGAACGCUGGCGGCAUGCCUUACACAUGCAAGUCGAACGGUAACGGGCCUUCGGGUGCCGACGAGUGGCGAACGGGUGAGUAAUGCAUCGGAACGUACCUUUCAGUGGGGGAUAACGUAGCGAAAGUUACGCUAAUACCGCAUAUUCUGUGAGCAGGAAAGCAGGGGAUCGCAAGACCUUGCGCUGAUUGAGCGGCCGAUAUCAGAUUAGCUAGUUGGUGAGGUAAAGGCUCACCAAGGCGACGAUCUGUAGCGGGUCUGAGAGGAUGAUCCGCCACACUGGAACUGAGACACGGUCCAGACUCCUACGGGAGGCAGCAGUGGGGAAUUUUGGACAAUGGGCGCAAGCCUGGAUCCAGCCAUGCCGCGU